CCAAGCAGUGCCUGUGAGUUGACGGCAUUCUUCCCUUACCCUUCCUGUCUGACGCAUAUCUCCAUUUCCCCACUACCGUGUUGCCCCAGGGAUGGUGUCACGGCACUCGAGUUAUAAAAAUAAUAUCAAAGAUUAGGGCUUAAAGAUGAGGUCUUCAAAGAUCAGACACUUUUGUUAUCGCAUACAUGUUGGAGAAACUGUGGAGGCCAGGAAUUAGAAAAUGGGACGACAUGGUGAGAAGAAACGUCAGAAGCAGUUCAGGGACCAGGGAGUGGGUCCUCUAGGAAUAAGGAGGCAUUCUGCUGGAUGCUUUUUAAAAGGUUUCCUCCAGAGUCAUCUGCCUCAUUAAUAACUGUUUUUGUGUUAGAAGUCUCUCUUUGAUUUUAUAAAUGGACAUGACUUCUUGUUCUGUUGUGAAUGCAUCUGCUUUAGUUCUUCAAUAAGCCCAUUACACAUUUUCACCAUGUCGUCUACAGGCACUUUUUCUUUAGUGUUAACGACAUCAUCUUCUUCGUCACUGUUAUCACAGUCACCUUGAU